UCAAAAACAUUCAAAACUGUUUUCUGGGAAAUAAAGGGGUUUGAAAUCAGGCAGCGGCCAGACAACCGUAGAGAUGGUAUCCACAGAUGGAGGGUUUAAUACUAUCCCUUUUUUGUCUACUGAUUCCAUCUCAUAUUU